rnacentral:rRNA from 1 species
CCUACGGGAGGCUGCAGUCGAGAAUCAUUCACAAUGGGCGAAAGUCUGACGCUGCGACGCCGCGUGGGGGAAUGAAGGUCUUCGGAUUGUAAACCCCUGUCAUGUGGGAGCAAAUUAAAAAGAUAGUAUCACAAGAGGAAGAGACGGCUAACUCUGAGCCAGCAGCCGCGGUAAUACAGAGGUCUCAAGCGUUGUUCGGAAUCACUGGGCGUAAAGCGUGCGUAGGCUGUUUGGUAAGUCGUGUGUGAAAGGCGCGGGCUCAACCCGCGGACGGCACAUGAUACUGCGAGCCUUGAGUGAUGGAGAGGGAACCGGAAUUCUCGGUGUAGCAGUGAAAUGCGUAGAUAUCGAGAAGAACACUCGUGGCGAAGGCGGGUUCCUGGACAUUAACUGACGCUGAGGCACGAAGGCGAGGGGAGCGAACGGGAUUAGAUACCCUGGUAGUC